UACACGGCUUAUCUUUCAGUUACAUCUUAAUUGAUUAAGGCUCUAGACUCUUGAGAUUUAGGGCUUGUUGAAUUUGGGGUUUUCAAUUCUGAGUUCAAAUCAGGGCUUAUUAACUCAAACUACUUCACCUAAUCGCUCUCUUUCUUUGUUUGCAGGUGCGAUUUGAGGUCCCGUUGUUUGUAGGUGCGAUUUGAGGUCCUGGGGUUGGAUAUGUGUUCAGGAAAAUCCCCCUCUCUCUCCAUUGCUUAUUUGGGUGCUUGUUUAAUGCUCUCUAUGCUUAUUUGAGUGCUUUGCGUGCUUAUUUGGGGUUCGAUUUGAGUGCUUAUCCUAUAUUUCAUAUUAGGACUUAUUUGAGUGCUUAUUCUCUGCUCUCCUAUAUUUGUUUUUUUUAGCAUAUGGUAUUUAGUUUUUGGUGAAUUUAUGCUCUCGGUUUUCAUUUUGGGUCUUUAUUUUGAUUUUUAUGUAUGUUUUUCAAUUUUAAUUGUUGGUGGAUUUUCUCAUGUUUGCAUUAUGGUUGAGGGCAUUGUUUUACAUAAAAGGAUGUGUAUGUGUUUGUAAAAAGUAAAAAGGAUAUGUAUGUGUUUGUAUUGAAGGCAUUGAUAGGGAUUGCUAUCAAAGUCCACUAACUUCUGCUAGUUCAUCAUGUGCCUUAUAAGGCUUCAAUGUGUAGAUAAUUGCAGAGCAUAAAUCUAGAAUCAUAUGCCUUAAUGAAUCAUUAUUGUGACUAAAACUCAUUAUUCUGUUGUUCUAAAAAAAAGAGCUAUAUCCAUAUACUUGGAGAUCCUUUUGAUCUUCAGCUUGGUGAGUAUUUUAUUUGUCUUGAUAGUUUAAUUGUUCAUAGACAUUAAAUGUAUAGGUAAUAGUUGUAUUUAUCAAUCACGGUGAGGAUGCUAUACAAUAGUCAAGACAUGCUACAGAAGAAAAGUUGGCAGAGCAAGCUGACUUGCAGCAAGCCGUUGAGCUGCAAAACCGGAGGUUGAUGAGUCUUAAGUUUUGGCCAAAUCACUGUAGUAGGAGUUCCGUGCUUUGUUCUUCAGAUUGCAGCAGUAUAUAAUUUCCUGAAGUUUGCACGUCAUGAAGAUGCCAGGGGUGCAGAAAGUUUAAAUGGACAACUAGAAAUUGCAGGUCGAGCAAUAAAGGUUUCCAUGUCAGGUUUUGAUGAUAGAUUGGUAAAUGGAGGAAGCAUAUUGGAAUUGAUUGGUAAAGAGAGGAGGAAUGGAAAGAGUCCCGAAGAAGUUGGCAAGAUUUAUGCUCAAGGCAUUUGAAGUUGCUAGUAUGCUCAAGGCAUUUGAAGUUGCCAGUUUCUCAU